GAUGAACGCUGGCGGCGUGCCUAAUACAUGCAAGUCGAGCGAACGGACGGGAAGCUUGCUUCUCUGAUAUUAGCGGCGAACGGGUGAGUAACACGUGGAUAACCUACCUAUAAGACUGGGAUAACUUCGGGAAACCGGAGCUAAUACCGGAUGAUAUUUUGAACCGCAUGGUUCAAAAGUGAAAGAAGGUCUUGCUGUCACUUAUCGAUGGAUCCGCGCUGCAUUAGCUAGUUGGUAAGGUAACGGCUUACCAAGGCAACGAUGCAUAGCCGACGUGAGAGGGGGAUCGGCCACACUGGAGCGGGGACGCGGUCCAGGCGCCUAAGGGAGGCAGCAGUAGGGAAUCGGCCGCAACGGGCGAGAGCCUGGCGGAGCAAGGCCGCGCGAGAGAUAGCGGUCUUCGGAUCGGAAAGCUCGCUUACUGGGGAAAAACAUAUGUGAAAGGAAAAGUACAGAUCGUGACGGUACCUAAACAGAAAGCCACGGCUAACUACGUG
rnacentral:rRNA from 1 species